rnacentral:rRNA from 1 species
UGACGAAGAGUUUGAUCCUGGCUCAGGAUGAACGCUGGCGGCGUGCUUAAUACAUGCAAGUCGAACGGAGAAUGUAGCAAUACGUUCUUAGUGGCGAAUGGGUGCGUAACACGUGGGUGACCUGCCCCGAAGUGUGGAAUAACAGUUCGAAAGAACUGCUAAUACCACAUGUGGUCUUGGAGGUUAGAGGCUUCAAGUCUAAAGCAGAAAUGCGCUUCGGGAGGGGCCUGCGGUCCAUCAGCUAGUUGGUAGGGUAAUGGCCUACCAAGGCGACGACGGAUAGGGGACCUGAGAGGGUGGCCCCCCACACUGGCACUGACACACGGGCCAGACGCCUACGGGUGGCAGCAGUAAGGAAUAUUGCUCAAUGGGCGAAAGCCUGAAGCAGCAACGCCGCGUGCACGAUGAAGGCCUUCGGGUCGUAAAGUGCUUUUCGGGGAGAUGAGGAAGGACAGUAUCCCCGGAAUAAGGUACGGCUAACUACGUGCCAGCAGCCGCGGUAAAACGUAGGUACCGAGCGUUAUCCGGAUUCACUGGGCGUAAAGCGCGUGCAGGUGGUUAGGUAAGUCGGGCAUGAAAACUCUUGGCUCAACUAAGAGACGCUGUCCGAUACUGCCGGACUUGAGGGUGUAAGAGGGAGGUGGAAUUCCGCAUGUAGUGGUGAAAUGCGUAGAUAUGCGGAGGAACACCAGUGGCGAAGGCGGCCUCCUGGUACACUCCUGACACUCAGACGCGAAAGCUAGGGGAGCGAACGGGAUUAGAAACCCCGGUAGUCCUAGCCGUAAACGAUGAUUACUAGGUGUUAGUGGUAUCAAGCCCACUAGUGCCGAAGCUAACGCGAUAAGUAAUCCGCCUGGGGACUACGAUCGCAAGAUUAAAACUCAAAGGAAUUGACGGGGGCCCGCACAAGCAGCGGAGCGUGUGGUUUAAUUCGAGGCUACGCGAAGAACCUUACCCAGGUUUGACAUGCAGGUAGUAGUGAAGCGAAAGCGGAACGACCCGCAAGGGAGCCUGCACAGGUGAUGCAUGGCUGUCGUCAGCUCGUGCCGUGAGGUGUUUGGUUAAGUCCAGUAACGAGCGCAACCCUUAGGGCCAGUUACAAGUGUCUGGCCCGACUGCCGGUCUUAAGCCGGAGGAAGGUGGGGAUGACGUCAAGUCAGCAUGUCCUUUAUAUCUGGGGCUACACACACGCUACAAUGGGCAGUACAAUGGGUCGCCAACCCGCGAGGGGGAGCCAAUCCUCCAAAACUGCCCUCAGUUCAGAUCGCAGGCUGCAACUCGCCUGCGUGAAGUCGGAGUUGCUAGUAAACGCAGGACAGCUAUACUGCGUUGAAUACGUUCCCGGGCCUUGUACACACCGCCCGUCACGUCAUGGGAGCUGGCAACACCUGAAGCCGGUGGCCUAACUGCAAAGAGGGAGCCGUCGAAGGUGGGGCUGGUGACUGGGACGAAGUCGUAACAAGGUAGCAGUAGCGGAAGCUGCGGCUGGAUCACCUCCUUUCUAGGGAGUA